CUGGGAGAAAAGGAAAAUAGCUAGGAAAUUUCCCAGCCUAAAGAUAGAGACCAUUAGAAAAUGUGGCUUGAGGUUUCGUAGAGCACAGAAUGUACUAAUGUAACAACUGGAAACUAAGUGGAUUUGUUAUUUUAGGAAUUCCAGAAGUACUGCAUCCAGAUGUGGAGUCCUCAGUACAGGAGAGACAUGGAGCUGUUGGGGUGCAUUCAGAGGAGGGCCACAAAAAUGAUCCCAGGGGUGGAACACCUCUCCUAUGGGGCUGUGCAGAGUGGAGAAGAGAAGGCUUCGAGGUGACCUGAGAGCGGCCUGUUACUAUCUAAAGGGGAGCUAUGAGAAAGAAGGGGACAGACCCUUUAGCAGAGUCUGUGGUGACAGAACAUGGAACAAGUUUCAAGCUUAAAAAGGGGAGAUUUAGGUUGGAUAUAAGGAAAAAUUCUUCUACAGCGACGGUGGCGAGGCACUGGCACAGGUUGCCCAGAGAUGUGGUGGAUGCCCCAUCCCUGGAUACUUUCAGGGCAAGGCUGGAUUGGGGUCUGAGCACCCUGAUCUAACUGUGGAUAUCCCUGUUCAUUGCAGGAGAGGUGGAUUAGGUGACCUUUAAAGGUCUCAUCUGAUUGUAAGUAUUCUAUGAUUCUUUAUGGUAAGGGUGACAGAGCACUGUAGUCUCCUUCCACAGAGAUAUUCAAGACCCAUCUGGACGCCUACCUGUGCAACCUAUUGUAGGGAGCCUGCUUUACAGAAGGGUUGGACUCGAUGAUCUCUUGAGUUCCCUUCCAGCCCCUGCUGUUCUGUAGUUCUGUGAUAUCCAAUCAAUGAUGCAGAGCGCUGGAUGAGUUUAUGCUGUGCAGUGAAACAGAAAAAAAAAAAUAUUGCAAAUGCAUAGGGAGAUUAUAAAUGUAGAAAGCAAAUUUCAAAUAUACAAAUAAUUUUUGUUGUAAAGUUUUUUAUAAAUAUACUUGCCUG
ensembl:lncRNA